GACGAAGGAUGCAAGCGUUAUCCGGAUUCAUUGGGUUUAAAGGGUGCGUAGGCGGCCCGGUAAGUCAGUGGUGAAAUCUCCUUGCUUAACAAGGAAACUGCCAUUGAUACUGUCGGGCUUGAGUACAGUUGCUGUGGGCGGAAUAUGACAUGUAGUGGUGAAAUACAUAGAGAUGUCAUAGAACACCGAUUGCGAAGGCAGCUCACAAAAACUGUAACUGACGCUGAGGCACGAAAGUGCGGGGAUCAAACAGG
rnacentral:rRNA from 1 species